rnacentral:tRNA from 1 species
AGGCGCGUAGCUCAGCUGGCUAGAGCACCACCUUGACAUGGUGGGGGUCGUUGGUUCGAGUCCAAUCGCGCCUACCA